AGCUUGCUCCCGGAUGUUAGCGGCGGACGGGUGAGUAACACGUGGGUAACCUGCCUGUAAGACUGGGAUAACUCCGGGAAACCGGAGCUAAUACCGGAUAGUUCCUUGAACCGCAUGGUUCAAGGAUGAAAGACGGUUUCGGCUGUCACUUACAGAUGGACCCGCGGCGCAUUAGCUAGUUGGUGGGGUAAUGGCUCACCAAGGCGACGAUGCGUAGCCGACCUGAGAGGGUGAUCGGCCACACUGGGACUGAGACACGGCCCAGACUCCUACGGGAGGCAGCAGUAGGGAAUCUUCCGCAAUGGACGAAAGUCUGACGGAGCAACGCCGCGUGAGUGAUGAAGGUUUUCGGAUCGUAAAGCUCUGUUGUUAGGGAAGAACAAGUGCGAGAGUAACUGCUCGCACCUUGACGGUACCUAACCAGAAAGCCACGGCUAACUACGUGCCAGCAGCCGCGGUAAUACGUAGGUGGCAAGCGUUGUCCGGAAUUAUUGGGCGUAAAGGGCUCGCAGGCGGUUUCUUAAGUCUGAUGUGAAAGCCCCCGGCUCAACCGGGGAGGGUCAUUGGAAACUGGGAAACUUGAGUGCAGAAGAGGAGAGUGGAAUUCCACGUGUAGCGGUGAAAUGCGUAGAGAUGUGGAGGAACACCAGUGGCGAAGGCGACUCUCUGGUCUGUAACUGACGCUGAGGAGCGAAAGCGUGGGGAGCGAACAGGAUUAGAUACCCCUGGUAGUCCACGCCGUAAACGAUGAGUGCUAAGUGUUAGGGGGUUUCCGCCCCUUAGUGCUGCAGCUAACGCAUUAAGCA
rnacentral:rRNA from 1 species